rnacentral:rRNA from 1 species
GACAGAGGGGGGCAAGCGUUGCUCGGAAUUACUGGGCGUAAAGGGCGCGUAGGCGGGAUGGCAAGUCGGUCGUGAAAUCCCUCGGCUCAACUGAGGAGCGUCGAUCGAAACUGCCGUUCUUGAGGGUUGCAGAGGAGACUGGAAUUCCCGGUGUAGCGGUGAAAUGUGUAGAGAUCGGGAGGAACACCGGUGGCGAAGGCGGGGUCUCUGGGCGAUCUCCGUGACGGCCUGAGGCGCGAAAAGCGUGGGGAGCAAAGCGGGG